UUUGAUGGUGUGGUACUUAGCACAGGUGACUCACUCUUGUUUGGUUUGGCCUCUGCUGGGGCCCAGUGCAGGAGCUCAGUUAGAAACCACAGCCUCCGGUAAACUCCUUCUCACAACUGAAAUGGGUUUUACGUCCUCGCAGAUUUGGUGUGAGGAAGAGGUUUGUACCUUGUGAAGAGGUUACUUUUGGUUUUCCUUAAAACCUAGAAACACAAAGAAAGGCUGUGCCCUAAAGGACAGGAGCAAUGUUUUUCACUUCACAGGUGAGUUCCAAGUAAGUAUACAGACUCAUUUCACCUUUUACUCUUAGUUCAAGUGGUCAUGAAAGGAUUAACAGUCAGAGUUGGAGGAAUGUUAACAACCCAGGA
rnacentral:lncRNA from 1 species